AAAUUGAAGAGUUUGAUCAUGGCUCAGAUUGAACGCUGGCGGCAGGCCUAACACAUGCAAGUCGAACGGUAACAGGAAACAGCUUGCUGUUUCGCUGACGAGUGGCGGACGGGUGAGUAAUGUCUGGGAAGCUGCCUGAUGGAGGGGGAUAACUACUGGAAACGGUAGCUAAUACCGCAUAACGUCGCAAGACCAAAGAGGGGGACCUUCGGGCCUCUUGCCAUCGGAUGUGCCCAGAUGGGAUUAGCUAGUAGGUGGGGUAACGGCUCACCUAGGCGACGAUCCCUAGCUGGUCUGAGAGGAUGACCAGCCACACUGGAACUGAGACACGGUCCAGACUCCUACGGGAGGCAGCAGUGGGGAAUAUUGCACAAUGGGCGCAAGCCUGAUGCAGCCAUGCCGCGUGUAUGAAGAAGGCCUUCGGGUUGUAAAGUACUUUCAGCGGGGAGGAAGGGAGUAAAGUUAAUACCUUUGCUCAUUGACGUUACCCGCAGAAGAAGCACCGGCUAACUCCGUGCCAGCAGCCGCGGUAAUACGGAGGGUGCAAGCGUUAAUCGGAAUUACUGGGCGUAAAGCGCACGCAGGCGGUUUGUUAAGUCAGAUGUGAAAUCCCCGGGCUCAACCUGGGAACUGCAUCUGAUACUGGCAAGCUUGAGUCUCGUAGAGGGGGGUAGAAUUCCAGGUGUAGCGGUGAAAUGCGUAGAGAUCUGGAGGAAUACCGGUGGCGAAGGCGGCCCCCUGGACGAAGACUGACGCUCAGGUGCGAAAGCGUGGGGAGCAAACAGGAUUAGAUACCCUGGUAGUCCACGCCGUAAACGAUGUCGACUUGGAGGUUGUGCCCUUGAGGCGUGGCUUCCGGAGCUAACGCGUUAAGUCGACCGCCUGGGGAGUACGGCCGCAAGGUUAAAACUCAAAUGAAUUGACGGGGGCCCGCACAAGCGGUGGAGCAUGUGGUUUAAUUCGAUGCAACGCGAAGAACCUUACCUGGUCUUGACAUCCACAGAACUUUCCAGAGAUGGAUUGGUGCCUUCGGGAACUGUGAGACAGGUGCUGCAUGGCUGUCGUCAGCUCGUGUUGUGAAAUGUUGGGUUAAGUCCCGCAACGAGCGCAACCCUUAUCCUUUGUUGCCAGCGGUCCGGCCGGGAACUCAAAGGAGACUGCCAGUGAUAAACUGGAGGAAGGUGGGGAUGACGUCAAGUCAUCAUGGCCCUUACGACCAGGGCUACACACGUGCUACAAUGGCGCAUACAAAGAGAAGCGACCUCGCGAGAGCAAGCGGACCUCAUAAAGUGCGUCGUAGUCCGGAUUGGAGUCUGCAACUCGACUCCAUGAAGUCGGAAUCGCUAGUAAUCGUGGAUCAGAAUGCCACGGUGAAUACGUUCCCGGGCCUUGUACACACCGCCCGUCACACCAUGGGAGUGGGUUGCAAAAGAAGUAGGUAGCUUAACCUUCGGGAGGGCGCUUACCACUUUGUGAUUCAUGACUGGGGUGAAGUCGUAACAAGGUAACCGUAGGGGAACCUGCGGUUGGAUCACCUCCUUACCUUAAAGAAGC
rnacentral:rRNA from 1 species